AUGGCGCCCGUGCAUCGGCGACCUGGAGAUCCUCCUCCACGAUACGGAGCACAAGAGGAGGUUUUUACCGUAGAAAUCAACUAUGGUGGAUUUUUCUGCGAAUUUGGCCGAUCGAAGACGUAUGUCGAUGGUAAAGUUGCUCUGUUCGAUGGUUGCGAAGUAGAUACAUGGUCUCCUCUCUGGCUCACUGAUUUUAUGCAGCAACUGGGAUAUAGUGACCAAUCUAAGCAUGUUAUUUACUGGUUACUGCCUGGAAAGAAUUUAGCCGACGGACUGCGGAUUGUGGACUGUGACACUGACACUUUGCACAUGACAGCAGUUGUUCCAAAAUUCCAGUUGUUUCAGUUGUUUGUUGAUCACAAAGAUAUGGCCUUUGACAAUGUAAUGGAUGAUAUUCAUGUUAGUGGUACACCUGAGCUACCUCUUGUACUAAGCCCUAAAUCUCAUGGGUUUAGCAGUGGAAUAAGAGGAAGUCCCAGGUUUAAGGUGAAAGCUCACAAAGGCAGACUGAACCAAUGUCAUGCAGGCAGCAGCAAUGAAGGGAGUAGCAGUGUUCCACCAGUGGGACUAAAUGUUGGACAUGAGCUUAGAAGAAGCAGGAGGAAACUUGUGGUAGAAGAAGAAAUCCCCAAUGAAAAUGACAGUGACAGUGAUAGUGAUGACAGUGAAUGGGAUUCAGACUGGGUAGACUCUGACAAUGAAGUAGGCAAAGAUGAUGAUGAUCUAUAUGAAGAAUGGGUUGAUGAAAAAUUUGAGAAAAAAAAAAAGAAGAAAUCUGAAUGGGAGCAGGACAGUGACUAUGAUACAGAUGAACUGCAGGAGCUACAAGGUUCAGAGCUUGAAGAUAGUGAUUCAGCAGAGGAAGUGGAAGUAGUAGAUGCACAAGGAAGGAACAAAAUGAAAAAGAAAGUGAAGCUGAAAAGGUGGAGGCCUGAGAACAUGAAAGAAGUCAAUUUUCACAUAGGCAUGGUGUUCUUGUCUGUCAUUGAACUAAGAGUAGCAAUUCAGGAGUACAUUGUGAAGCAAAGAGUGCAAAUUCAUUACAUAAAGAAUGAUAAGCAGAGGAUAAGGGCAGGUUGUGUUGGAGAUUGUCCCUGGUUCUUAUUUGCUGCACCUGACAGCAGGACCAAAGCAUGGGUUGUGAAGAAGUAUGUGGGUGAGCAUACAUGUGAAAGAGAGUGGGCACUGAAGCAAUUUACAGCAAGAUAUUGUGUGAGGCAUCUGCAUCAAAACUUUGCAAAAAACUGGAAAGGUGAUGUAUUCAAGAAUAAAUUGUGGCAAAUUGCAAGAGCUACACAUGAGGCAGACUGGAAGAAGUACAUGCAAGAGAUGAAAGAGUUGGACCAGGGGGCCUAUGAGUACUUGGAUGCAAUUGACCCAAGGCAGUGGUGCAAGGCCUAUUUCCAUGAACUCCCAAAGUGUGAUUUGCUUCUUAACAACAGCUGUGAAGUGUUCAACAAGUAA
rnacentral:rRNA from 1 species